UUAAGAGGGUAUUUUAGUAAAAU
rnacentral:snRNA from 1 species